CCAGUAAGUGAGAAAUCGCUUUCACUACCGUGCCAGGUGGCCCCUCCGGGCUGCCCGCACCGGUGUUAACCCAUUGUGAACCGAAAAAACCUUUCGCUUCGGCAGCUGGGCCUGACCGCCCGUCAGCCUGCCGCUAGCACCCAACCUCCAAACCUGUUUGUCAAACAUUGUCUGAUGACCAAAAUUUUCGAAUGAAAAUCA
rnacentral:misc_RNA from 1 species